rnacentral:lncRNA from 1 species
UCCAAAUAUUAUGAUAAUAUAACAUCAAUUUCCAAUACCAGAAUGAGAAUGUGGAUGACUCUUGUAAAAGGACUCACUAGAACAUUUGUCCAAUUUCAUGAAAACUGCAUUCUCUGAAAAUAUAUUUGUGAGUGACUUGGUCCAGUUUAUUAACCAAUAAAUUCCUGAAAAAAAGUGUUUAAUCCUUAAUAUUAUUCUUUAAUUUUGGCAAAAAAAAAUAAAAAAUUCCACACUCGUUAUCACCAUUAUAGGGUAAUACAUGUAGUAUAUUUGUGUCAUUGAAUUGGCCAGGCACAUAAAUUUAUUUGUUGGUUCACGCAAAAAUAUGUACUCCAUGUUACUUAAAGUCUUAUUAUGAUCAUCAAAGGAAUUUUUUGUGUUUGUAUUCAGAUAAAUAGUUUUAACAUUGAGUCAGAUUAUGUUACAUGUACUAUACUAUAGCCUCAUUGAUUACAAAUAGAAGUUUGGUCAACGUCCUCUAUCGAGAAAUAAACAACUUCAUGAACAACUACUGGAGGUCCUUUCAACCAAUUUUAUAAAAGUCUCUAUUAUGCAAAUCGUAUAAAAAGUAUGAUAAUAUAAUAUCAACAUAUAUAUAUAUCCAUGUCAUUGAGAAUGUGGAUUAAACUUGCAAAAGUGUUUAGUCUCAAGGGACUCACUGAAACGUUUGUCCAAUUUCAUAAAAACUGCAAUCUUUAAAAAAAAAUUUUCCAUUAAAACUUCAUAUAAAACAAUUGUUUUGCCCAUAGAUCAGAUUGCUACAACAAAUCUUUAAAAAAAAAUGUUGAAAAAAUGGUGGGGUGGGGAUGGGGCAAGAUGGUAAAGCAUUGGAACUGACAAUAUUGUUACUUUUAUACGACCUUAUGAGUCCCCCUCAUUUCUAAUUUAUGGCCUAGCCUAAUGCUUAUUAUGUUGGUUUAUGUAUAUAAAUUAAAGUUAUCUCCCCUUUAUUAAGAAUCAGUUGAUAACUUUGAUAACUAUUGACUUAUAUUGUUACAAUAGCACCUACUUUUGUAUAAAAGUUCAUAAUGAUCUGAUGAAAAAUUUGUCAAUCAAAUAAAAAAUCUGUAUGAGAAAUAAUCCGUCAGGC